rnacentral:rRNA from 1 species
CGUCUAUAUACGUAUAGCAUAUCAAUAAGCGGAGGAAAAGAAACUAACAAGGAUUCCCUUAGUAACGGCGAGUGAAGCGGGAAGAGCUCAAAUUUGAAAUCUUCAAGGUUUUACCUUGACGAAUUGUAGUUUAAAGAAGUGUUUUCUGUUGGAGUUUUGGUAAAAGUUCUUUGGAAUAGGACAUCAUAGAGGGUGAGAAUCCCGUAUUUGACCAUUAUUUCCAGCUUUGUGAUACACUUUCAAAGAGUCGGAUUGUUUGGGAAUGCAGUCCAAAAUGGGUGGUAAAUUUCAUCUAAAGCUAAAUAUUGGCGAGAGACCGAUAGCGAACAAGUACCGUGAGGGAAAGAUGAAAAGAACUUUGAAAAGAGAGUUAAACAGUACGUGAAAUUGUCAAAAGGGAAGCGUUUGACACCAGUGUUGUUUUUCCGAAAAUCAAUUACGAAUGUUUUAUUUUUGAGGAGUUAUGACUUCAUCGGCUUGCUUCUCUUCUUUACGAAACUUUCUUAAUGCACUUUUCGGUUAACAAGUCAACAUCAAUUUCUUUUGUUGUAAAAGGGUAUGAGGAAGGUGGCUUUCUUUUCGGAGAAAGUGUUUAUAGCCUUGUACCUCUGCAAUCGGAGAGAUUGAGGUCUGCAGCGUAGAUCCUUCGGGGUUAGAUACAUUUGUGCUAAGUUAUAGCUUUUCAUAGACAACUUGUUGACUAUGUUUAGUCUUGUAGCUUACUCGCAUGACGCUAUUUUACCUACGCUUAGGAUGUUGAUAUGCAUGACUGAUAU